AUCCCCAAGCUCGCUCUCCAAGCCAUGCCGAGCUUGCCGCCGUGAAGCUCGUCGCCAGACCGCCUCGCCGGAACCCCACCCGUCUCGGCCAGCUUUGUCGUCCACAUCCCGGCGAACCACCGCGUUAGGAACACCACCUUGAUCGAGCCCCUGCUCGUGCCUAGCUCACCACCGUGAAGCUCACCCACGCAGCACCCCGGCGACCGUGCCCACGCUGUUCGCCGUCAUCCGUUCACCCAAGGUUGCCCACAUUGCAACCACUGCUCAGGAGAAGAUGAAGUCGUGAUGGAGGAUCUCCAGGAGUUCCAAGAUUAUGAUGAGUUCUAGGUGUGGGUUAGAGACAAACCCCCAUUCGGCUGCCUAUGAAGGCCAUGUUUAGCUACGUUUUGUUUUUGCACUUUAAUCUAUGUUAAUGACUAUGUGAAUGUCUCGGGCAUCAUGAUGUAAUCAAAUUAAUACUCUUUUAUGUUAUUAUUUGAGCAUUGUGCGAUGA